GACGAACGCUGGCGGCGUGCUUAACACAUGCAAGUCGAACGGAAAGGCCCUGCUUUUGUGGGGUGCUCGAGUGGCGAACGGGUGAGUAACACGUGAGUAACCUGCCCUUGACUUUGGGAUAACUUCAGGAAACUGGGGCUAAUACCGGAUAGGAGCUCCUGCUGCAUGGUGGGGGUUGGAAAGUUUCGGCGGUUGGGGAUGGACUCGCGGCUUAUCAGCUUGUUGGUGGGGUAGUGGCUUACCAAGGCUUUGACGGGUAGCCGGCCUGAGAGGGUGACCGGCCACAUUGGGACUGAGAUACGGACCAGACUCCUACGGGAGGCAGUAGUGGGGAAUAUUGCACAAUGGGCGGAAGCCUGAGGCAGCAACGCCGCGUGCGGGAUGACGGCCUUCGGGUUGUAAACCGCUUUCGACUGUGACGAAGCGUGAGUGACGGUAAUGGGUAAAGAAGCACCGGCUAACUACGUG
rnacentral:rRNA from 1 species